rnacentral:tRNA from 1 species
GCGGGUGUGGUGGAAUAGGCAGACACAAGGGACUUAAAAUCCCUCGGUAGCGAUACCGUACCGGUUCGAUCCCGGUCAGCGGCA